rnacentral:rRNA from 1 species
GGACUACCAGGGUAUCUAAUCCUGUUUGCUCCCCGCACUUUCGCGCCUCAGCGUCAGUCAUCGGCUGGAAGCCUGCCUUCGCCAUCGGUGUUCUUCCUGAUAUCUACAGAUUUCACCCCUACACCAGGAAUUCCGGCUUCCCCUCCGUGACUCAAGCAUGCCAGUUUCCAGCGCAGCCCCGAGGUUGAGCCUCGGUAUUUCACGCCGGACUUGGCACGCCGCCUACGCGCCCUUUACGCCCAAUGAUUCCGAACAACGCUUGCCCCUUACGUGUUACCGCGGCGGCUGGCAC